GUUUCCGUAGUGUAGUAGUUAUCACGUAUGCUUCACACGCACAAGGUCCCCGGUUAAAUCCCAGGCGGGAACU